UAUGGCGACCGGCGCACGGGUGAGUAACACGUAUCCAACCUGCCGAUGACUCGGGGAUAGCCUUUCGAAAGAAAGAUUAAUACCCGAUGGCAUAGUUCUUCCGCAUGGUAGAACUAUUAAAGAAUUUCGGUCAUCGAUGGGGAUGCGUUCCAUUAGCUUGUUGGCGGGGUAACGGCCCACCAAGGCAUCGAUGGAUAGGGGUUCCGAGAGGAAGGUCCCCCACAUUGGAACUGAGACACGGUCCAAACUCCUACGGAAGGCAGCAG
rnacentral:rRNA from 1 species